ACCUGGGCGGUCGCGUCCCUCCGUCCUCGCGCCCGCUGGGGAGCGGCGGCUACCGCGUCCAGAGCGUCCGACCGGCCCCGGCGGUGUCUCUGCGCGGAGUCUCCAUUAAUCUCGGGACACCCCCGUACAGGGGCCCUUACCUUCCAAGUUUGAAGCGAAGAACCUGAGCUCCAGAAGGUUCAGAAGCCGGGCUCUGGGAGCUGCGUCCCCCGCACUGCGCCCACCAGCUCUCCCGCAAGGCCGGCGGCCGGGUUAUCCGGGUCUUCCCGAUCCCUCCGUGCAGAGAGCCCGCGGGGCUCCCUCCUGAGCCCCCAGCGCGGAGAUGCGAACAGUCACUGCGUGCGGGCUGCUCUGCUGUCUGCAGGGUGAUGGCCCAGACAGAUACAGGAGCCACGAUCGACAAGCCGACUGGAGUGCCCCUCCCAGGAAGGAUGCGGGGGAAGCAAAGUCCCAGUCUGGCCCCGCCUGGCCGGAUGUGGAUCUCUGUGCCCUGGAGCCCUAGUCAUCUUGGGCCAGGUGCCCUGGAGCAUGAGGCCUUGACUACCAAAGGUAACAAAAUCAGCUCGGGAUGAAGAAGGGCAUCUGCAUCCACCUGGCUGCCUGGGCCAGAAACAGAGCGCAUUACGUAGACCCCUCCCUCACCUCUCAGACAGCUCUUAUAGCCACCCUCUUCCCUCCCUCCAUUCCUACCCCAGUCCCACCUCCCAGCUGGCCUCUUCCAAACCUCUCCAAAGCACUGUCAGAAGAACUUAUAAAACCCCAGGUCUGAUCUGUCACUCCCCAGUUUACGACUCAGAGCCGGCUUCCCAUUGCCCUCGGGUCCAAACCCAGUCUCUGCUGGCGGGGUUUACCAGACUGGCCUCCCCCUGUAGCCUAGUGCCACCCCCAAACUGUGCACCCCGGAUCCCAGCCCCAAAUCGGAAGUACUUCCUGACCCUGGAACUCAACUCAAACCAGGCUCCCAGGUAAAUUGGUCUUGCCUUCCUCCCCCACCUCCCCCAGGAGAUAGAGCCUUCCAGUUAAAAUGAGAAAAUCUUCUAAAUCUGUUGAGUGUUUUUGCGGUCAUAGCUAAAAUCCUGAAACCAAAUAACAUAGCAAGUAAAGCAAUUUAACAAAA